AUUGAACGCUGGCGGCAUGCCUUACACAUGCAAGUCGAACGGCAGCACGGGUGCUUGCACCUGGUGGCGAGUGGCGAACGGGUGAGUAAUACAUCGGAACAUGUCCUGUAGUGGGGGAUAGCCCGGCGAAAGCCGGAUUAAUACCGCAUACGAUCUACGGAUGAAAGCGGGGGACCUUCGGGCCUCGCGCUAUAGGGUUGGCCGAUGGCUGAUUAGCUAGUUGGUGGGGUAAAGGCCUACCAAGGCGACGAUCAGUAGCUGGUCUGAGAGGACGACCAGCCACACUGGGACUGAGAUACGGCCCAGACUCCUACGGGAGGCAGCAGUGGGGAAUUUUGGACAAUGGGCGAAAGCCUGAUCCAGCAAUGCCGCGUGUGUGAAGAAGGCCUUCGGGUUGUAAAGCACUUUUGUCCGGAAAGAAAUCCUUGGCCCUAAUACGGUCGGGGGAUGACGGUACCGGAAGAAUAAGCACCGGCUAACUACGU
rnacentral:rRNA from 1 species